rnacentral:rRNA from 1 species
CCUACGGGUGGCUGCAGUGGGGAAUAUUGGACAAUGGGCGAAAGCCUGAUCCAGCCAUGCCGCGUGUGUGAAGAAGGCCUUCGGGUUGUAAAGCACUUUCAGUGGGGAAGAAAGCCUUGGGGCUAAUACCCUCGAGGAAGGACAUCACCCACAGAAGAAGCACCGGCUAACUCCGUGCCAGCAGCCGCGGUAAUACGGAGGGUGCGAGCGUUAAUCGGAAUUACUGGGCGUAAAGCGCGCGUAGGCGGUCUGAUAAGCCGGGUUGUGAAAGCCCCGGGCUCAACCUGGGAACGGCAUCCGGAACUGUCAGGCUAGAGUGCAGGAGAGGAAGGUAGAAUUCCCGGUGUAGCGGUGAAAUGCGUAGAGAUCGGGAGGAAUACCAGUGGCGAAGGCGGCCUUCUGGACUGACACUGACGCUGAGGUGCGAAAGCGUGGGUAGCAAACAGGAUUAGAUACCCGAGUAGUC